GUAGUUGAAUCUGUGUGUCACGGUGUCGGUUCACCGCUCGCGGUGCUUAACUGACAUUACGUGGUACGUCCUAUCGGUGGGCUUAGCUCCUUGCGGGCGGUCCAACUAAUAUCCCAUCGCGGUGCUCUUUACCGGGUGUCGAGGUGGGCCGAUACGUUUACUUUGAACAAAUUAGAGUGCUUAAAGCAGGCUACCUUCGCCUGAAUAUUCUGUGCAUGGAAUAAUGGAAUAGGACCUCGGUUCUAUUUUGUUGGU
rnacentral:ncRNA from 1 species